AGUUGAGUGAAUGUUUGUUCAUAGAUCAACUAUGUUUACAUGGACUUUGAUUUCUCUGUGCUUCAUAGCCCAUUAUGAUGUUUCUUCGGGACAGGACAGAGUUGAACAGUCUUCAGAAGAAAUGACUGCGAGUGAAGGAGCUCAAGUUAUUAGAGCAGGAAGUUCCUGAGAGACUGUAUGACUCAGAUCCUGAGUAACUGCAGAAACUCAGAGCAUCACAAUCAUCACCACAACCUACAACACAGAACACAGCAUCAACAGAACUGAUCUGACUUAGAAAACAUGG